CCUGAGAUGUACAAAUAAUCGAUCCUCUUUUCUGGUUAAAAACCCUAAAACCAACACCAGCUCCUAAGCAUAUACACACACUUCUCUCUGUCCCUCGAUCUCUCUCGAUCUUAAGAGUGAUGGAUGCUCAACGAGCUUUGCUGGAUGAACUCAUGGGUGCUGCUCGCAAUUUAACUGAAGAAGAGAGAAAGGGUUACAAGGAAACCACUUGGGAUGACAAGGAAGUGUGUGGCUUUUAUAUGGUUCGCUUUUGUCCUCACGAUCUGUUUGUGAACACAAGGAGCGAUCUAGGACCAUGCCCAAAAAUUCAUGACCCGAAAUUGAAAGAGAGUUUUGAGGGUUCCCCGAGACAUGAUUCGUACGUGCCAAAGUUUGAAGCAGACCUGGCCCAUUUCUGUGAGAAAUUGGUAAUGGACUUGGACAGAAGAGUAAGGCGUGGGAGAGAACGUCUUGAUCAAGAUGUUGAAGUUCCCGCUCCCCCUCCAGUUCCAGCAGAGAAAUCUGAGCAGUUAUCAGUGUUGGAGGAAAAGAUAAAGAAUCUUUUAGAACAAGUGGAGGCCCUUGGUGAAGCAGGCAAGGUAGAUGAAGCUGAAGCACUAAUGAGAAAGGUGGAUGUGCUUAAUGCAGAGAAGACGUUCUUGACGCAGCAGCCCCAGAAUGACAAACUCUUAAUGCUUGCUCAGGAAAAAAAGAUGGCUCUAUGUGAAACUUGUGGUUCUUUCUUAGUAGCAAAUGAUGUAAUUGAGAGAACUCAAUCUCACGUCACUGGCAAGCAGCAUAUCGGUUAUGGCAUGGUCCGUGAUUUCCUAGCCGAGUUUAAGGAAGCUAAGGAAAAAGCAAGAGAAGAGGAAAGGUUAGCAAGGGAGAAGGAAGCAGAAGAAAGAAGAAAGCAGAGGGAAAAGGAAGUUGAGAGUAGACGUAGAAGAAGUGGGUCAGAUGACAGAGACAGAGACCGUGGUCGUGAUAGAGACAGAGAGCGGGAUAGGUAUCGAGACCAAGAUCGUGAAAGGUCUCGUGAGAGGAAUGGUAGAGGAAGUCGUGAAGGGGGGAGAGGGUUAGAUUGGAAGUACAACAGUACCAGGAAUGGAAGUAGAGAUAGAUACCGAGAGCGUAACAGGAGCAGAUCACGUUCCCCUAGCAGGCGUAGUCACAGAAGGUCACCUUGAAAUCCCGUCCAAUUAUAUUACUGAAUACUGUUGCUUAAUGUCUGAAAGUUGAAGUCAGAAGAGCUUUGUUGAGACUAAUCUCCUAUCAUCAAUUUAUUACUAAAGGAGAAAGUGAUGAGUUAAAAAGAUGGACUUGGUUAGUGUGCAACUGUGCAUGUGUAGACCAGCUGCUGAAAAGGAUCACCAUUUUCUCAACUGUGAGGGAGCUGAUGUCAUCUGCCUAGCUUGAAAGUGCCACUCGUGAUUGUGUUAUGCCUGGAAAUUCCUGCCCUUGGUGCAGAGGGUCAGAUAAAAAAACAAAGUGAUGUGUGCUGGACUAUUUACUAAAUGAUAGAGACAAAUGAAAGUAUAUAUGUACAUAACUUCUGGAGGAUAGCAUGUGUACAUUGGCUUUCAACAUUUUACCCC